rfam:Schistosoma margrebowiei strain Zambia genome assembly, scaffold: SMRZ_contig0002277
AUCUAGCUGACGAGUCCCAAACAGGACGAAACGCGCGUCCUGGAU